CCAGUCAGCAGGAGGUAGGAUGAGGAAGUAGAAGACAGAAAAGCUAAGAGUCACAGCAGCUAGAACUAGAAGUGACAUUAUGUGAAUACCAGGAAGCCCAGGGGAGAAAAAUGGAAUGAAAUAGUUAAAGAAAUAAGGAAAACGUAACAGAUUUUUGAGAAUUUCAAGACCUUAGAAUGACAAGGGCUGGUAGAGCACCAAACAAGAAAAAUAAGGAAAGCCUCCCACAGGGACUAGCAAAGAGAAGUGGUGGACUUUACUAUCUUCCAGAAAGAAAGAGCAGCUCAUCUACAAGAAAAGAAGAAUAAGAUUGGCAUCAGAUUUCUCCACAGCAACAGUGGAUGGAAGAAAAAUUAGUGUGCUUAAGAACUGAAAGUAAAUAUUUAAUUACAAAAAUGUUUAUGAAAGUAAAUAUUUAAUUACAAAAAUAUUUACUGUGACAUUUCUUAUAAUAGCGAAAUACUGAAAGUGCCUUGAAUGUCCAUACAAUGGCAUACCAUGCAUCCACUUAAAAUUAUGUUACAGAAAAACACUCUAAACUGAAGAAGAUAGUCACAAUGAAUAGAUUUCUCUAUAAGAGAUUCUGCACAUGCAUAGGAUGAGUCCAAUUUUGUGUAUGUGGAAAGAAUGAAAGACUAUAUGCAGAAGUUUAGUUUUUAUCUCUGACAGUUAGCUGGAACUACAUAUACUACUUCCUUUUUGCUUUUUUAACAACUACAUUUUCUCAUAUGAGAUUUUGCUACUUUUUUAAAGGAAAAAAAUGUGACUCAACUAUUGAUUUAUCUCUGAGAGAACUCCAAGACUAAAUACUAAUUGGGAGUGAUUUUAGAUGCUCAGAGGCUGUUACAACGUUUCUGGGAGAUGUGACAGGAUUGAAUUAAGACAGUGGCAAAGGGGAUGGAUCUAGGGGGCUCUAUUGGACUGACAUGCAGGAAAAAUGAAUAGGAAUUUGUUAGCAGUUGGAUAGGGGACAUGUCAAGGAUGACUCUGAAGUUUCUAGCUCCUCUCAUAUUUUACUUAUCAACUCCUAAAUUUAGGUUUGAAAGAACUAUUAUACAUGCCCUUCUAAAGAAAUGUUGUGAUACAAAAGGCAGAUAUUUAUACUAUGUUUCCAGCAGCUCCUUCUAUGAAAGCACUUUUGAAGCUGAUUUGUAUGUACACCUACAUUGUGAGCCACAGAUAUUUUAUUUUCAAGAAAAACAUGCUCUACAAACUCUUUCCCAACCUGUGUCAUUAAGCAAAAGCAAUUGCUUUAUUCACCACCAACCUCUGCCUGAGAUCUUUUGAAUGCAGCUUCAAAGGUUCCAACCAACCACUGGAGUAAUCUGUCUAAACCGCACUUCCCAUCAGUGUGUGUUAAGGCUGUCAGAUAAGCAACAGCAAACCGAAUUAUCAGUUCUAGGGCAUCAUUAUGGCUAUUUCCUGUGUGCCUGUAAAGAUAAAUUGGAAGGAGCCGGACAAGAUAGUGAGAGUCUUUACUGAGAAGUGGAUCUGCUACUUGUGAAAGGAGAGGAGGAACAGAAGCAGACAGAUGGAGGCCGAAAUUGAAUUGCUGCUGACUGUUGUCCCUUGUUAUGGCCUGUGGAGAUAUGACAAUUGAGGAAGAACUUAGAGAAAUGCCAAGUAGUAGAGCAUGAAGGAGUGGGUGUGACCCACUGCCUUGGAUAUUUUAUGGCUGAUAGCAUUUGGCAAGAAAAAAUCUGCAGCCUCUAUAGUACUCUUGCAAAUAGAUUUCAACAUCAACCAUGCCCCUACCCUCAUCCCUAUUUGAUUUGCCCUGUAAGGUAUAUAUUUGCCAAAAUCUGCUCUUCUAAUUUUCAGUUACCUCACAGGACCCCUUGUAAACACCUAAAUAUUGAAAUAAAUAACACUUGGAAAGUUCUUUGUUUAAUUAAAAAUUGGGGCACAGAAAAUAGAGGCAAGGCACAUGAAAUUUCUUAUCCAUCCUACUUUUCAUUCCUUUUGGACUUGUCCUAUUUUCCAGGCUGUUUGACCAGAAAUUUUUACCAAGAGAGUCUUUGAAUGAUCUUUCAGGGGUGCUUGCCCCAUGGGAAUUAGAAGUACAAUAUCUGUGCAUGCUACACCGGGUUUUUUUUUUUUUUUUUUUUUUCACCAGAAGAGAGUCUGCAGUUUUCAUGAGAUUCUGGAAGCAGCUUAAAACUUCAAAAAGUUUAUGAAUCCCUGCUUUGGAUCUUUGGUUUAUGG